AAUGGGGGAAACCCUGAUGCAGCGACGCCGCGUGAGUGAAGAAGUAUCUCGGUAUGUAAAGCUCUAUCAGCAGGGAAGAAAAUGACGGUACCUGACUAAGAAGCCCCGGCUAACUACGUGCCAGCAGCCGCGGUAAUACGUAGGGGGCAAGCGUUAUCCGGAAUUACUGGGUGUAAAGGGUGCGUAGGUGGUAUGGCAAGUCAGAAGUGAAAACCCAGGGCUUAACUCUGGGACUGCUUUUGAAACUGUCAGACUAGAGUGCAGGAGAGGUAAGCGGAAUUCCUAGUGUAGCGGUGAAAUGCGUAGAUAUUAGGAGGAACAUCAGUGACGAAGGCGGCUUACUGGACUGAGACUGACACUGAGGCACGAAAGCGUGGGGAGCAAA
rnacentral:rRNA from 1 species